UACAGAGGGUGCUAGCGUUGUCCGGAAUCACUGGGCGUAAAGGGCGCGUAGGCGGCUCAUGAAGGCUGUGGUGAAAGUCCGGGGCUCAACCUCGGAUCGGCCGUGGCGACUCGUGGGCUGGAGCACUGUAGAGGCAGGUGGAAUUCCGGGUGUAGCGGUGGAAUGCGUAGAGAUCCGGAAGAACACCGGUGGCGAAGGCGGCCUGCUGGGCUAUGGCUGACACUGAGGCGCGACAGCGUGGGGAGCAAACAGG
rnacentral:rRNA from 1 species